rnacentral:rRNA from 1 species
GUGAGGAAUAUUGGUCAAUGGACGAGAGUCUGAACCAGCCAAGUCGCGUGAAGGAAGACGGUUCUAUGAAUUGUAAACUUCUUUUGUGCAGGAAUAAAGUGGGUUACGUGUAACCUUUUGUAUGUACUGUACGAAUAAGGAUCGGCUAACUCCGUGCCAGCAGCCGCGGUAAUACGGAGGAUCCGAGCGUUAUCCGGAUUUAUUGGGUUUAAAGGGUGCGUAGGUGGAUUGAUAAGUCAGCGGUGAAAGUUUGCAGCUUAACUGUAAAAUUGCCGUUGAAACUGUCGGUCAUGAGUGCAAAUGAGGUAGGCGGAAUGUGUUGUGGAGCGGUGAAAUGCUUAGAUAUAACACAGAACUCCGAUUGCGAAGGCAGCUUACUGGGAUGCAACUGACACUGAUGCACGAAAGCGUGGGUAUCAAACAGGAUUAGAAACCCGAGUAGUCC